rnacentral:lncRNA from 1 species
AUGGUAAGAACAGAAAUGCAAGGGCGGGCACUUUAUCCAGCAAAGCUUAGUGAGAGAACCAACAUUUAUGACAGCACUGCCAGCAGCACCCAGUCUCCCUGCAUUGCCCGAGUGGGUGGGUGCCCGUAUUUAGGACAAGGAGCAGCACGGGCAGAUAUGUUUGUCCUACCACCAUGCUGUGAACUUUUUGAGCCUUUCAUGGAAAAUUCACAUUACAAAGCAUCCCUGCACGCGAUGGGUGUGUGCUGCUACAGACCAGUGCUGCUGCAUGAUGCGCUGAGCCUCCUGUGGGAUGCAGUUGCCUUUAUCCAAAGAGAACAACUCCAGCAGCAAGAGCAGGCGGCGCUCCAGGCAGUGCCUCCUGCAGGAUCGGGAACAAGCCUGGAGCUGUCUCCAGACUGUUACUCAAAGCCAUACCGAAUAUUUGCAGCUGGAUACCUCACAGAACAUUUCUUUGCACCUUUUAAAACCUACUAUUUGCUACCAGCACUGUUCUCCAGGGGCACUGCACAGCUUUCAUGCUGGCUGGGGAGAGCAGAUGCCCUCAAGGCUUCCAGAGACUGAUCUCAGGGUCAUGAGUAAGAGCCCAUUAAGAAGUAAUAUGGAAGGAAUUGUGGCAUGAGGGCUUGUGUGCUGGCAUGGCUGUAAGGGAGCAGCUCAGCACAGGAAUGAUGCUGUGUUCUGUAAGGAUUUAAUUCUUCCUUGUAAAGUUUGAUCUGGAAGGCUCUGCCUACUUUGCCUCCAUGGUGGUGAAUUGCCACAGGCAUCUCAAGAACGCCUCAGCUCCAGGAUGAAACCACCCACCAAAGCACAUCCAGCACCAGCAGGAGCCUUGGAGGUCCUGCAACUGCAAGGAGACUGCCUUAGAACCAAGCAAAGCCAACAAAGUCUCUCCAUAAACCAGGGGCAAACUUCUUGCUGCUGCCCUGGGUCCUGUCCACCAGGUCUUCUGCUGAGCCCCCUAGCAAGGGUAUGGAAACCUGCCCGUUUCCCACUGACACUCCUUCUGGAUCCAACAGGUUUUCCCAGGGAAAGUGGAAGGCUGUAAAAUUACCAGAGGGUUGAUAUCACAUUUAUAUAUAUAUAUCUAUGUAUCUAUAUUCACACACACGUGUUCAUGUGUCCAUAUAUAUACUGACAUGUACACACACACGCAUCGUAUACGCGCUAUGCAUAGGUCUGCUGUCUGCCACUAUGUAUAACAGUUUGAUUAAACAGAAAAACAAAUCUGCCAACGCUGAUCUUCCCAUCUUUACUCAAAUUUAGCACAUGAAGAAGUUGAAACCCUUUAUGACUUUGUUUUCCUGGUUGCAAAAAGGCACUUUCUGAUGAUGUGAAGCAGCAGUUUGUUAAAAACACUGUAACUGCAGUGAUUCCCAUCUGUAGCAAGCGCUACGCAGGCACCAGUAUGAGCAGCAAUGUCACUGCCAACUCACACUGCGGAGUGUUUGGCCGUGUUUGCUUUUUGUUUCAGCGCAGAAUAAAAGAUGAAGACCAUCAGUGCUGUGCUAUGCAUGCACCUCUGCUGCCUUCGCUUCCAGUGCUGCCUGCUGUGCACUGAAAAAUUCCGGCGAGACGUUAGCUGGGAGCGUGCCGUGAGAGUUCAUCGACAUAUCAGUCACUUUCCUUUCUAAUCAAGGGAUCGGAAAUUAAUUUUUAUUAAGGAUAUUUAGUAAUUAAAGGCCGUCUGACUGCAGCACUGUGUGUGGGAGCUGCUCUCUGCUUCCAUCACAGCAGGCUGUCCAGCCUCAGCGGGAUGCAGCGGUCGCUGUCACUCACUGGAGGUUCCCGGCUGGAGAACGUGUUGGAAAGAGGAAGGAAAUGUCUUUUGUUAAUGCACCGGAAGACAGUACUAAAUUGGUCUGAAAUUCCUUUUCUCUCUUGACUUCCACAGAAAAAAUGUGUCUGUGCCCUGUGAAAUAAACUCAAGACAUACUGAAAACCAGAACCUAAAAUAAAACCCCACUUACGCUGC